UCGUAUAAAAGGAGGGUGGCCGUGGUUUCCUCAAGAUUCCAGACUGAUAUCAUUUCACAUGGUGGAAAAAUGCGAAUGCUUCCAAGAGGACCAAGACCUCUAUAGAGUCUAUGUCUAUUAUAUAUAAAUUCUUGCGAGUUGGAAGCCAGCGGCCAAGAAAAGAGACAUGGGAUCACAAAAGGCUCCCUCCUUCUUCUUGCUACUGCUCUUCUUCUUUUCAAUCCAUCUUCACAGCUCCGGGGUUGCAGAAGCCAGGCCGCUUCCUCUUCCCUUGGUGAAACAAGAGAGGUAUGUCAAAACGCUGGAGUCGCUGGGCCUCGUCUGCCAGUGCUGUGACGGACUGGGAGGCGAAUGCACGAGCACCUGGGAAUCCGCUUGUGUCAAACUGGAUUGCCAUCCCUGGAAAUCCGUGUGAUUUUGGCAUCGCAUCGGAAUUUUGAUCUCGUGGCCUUGUAAAUAACCUUCAGAAAAGAGUUGGUUCUUGAAGCACCAAACUAUGCUGUGUAAAUAUAUCUUCGACUAUAGCCUAUCUCGAUAGCAAAUGA